CCUACGGGAGGCAGCAGUGGGGAAUAUUGCACAAUGGGGAAACCCUGAUGCAGCGACGCCGCGUGAGUGAAGUAGUAUUUCGGUAUGUAAAGCUCUAUCAGCUGGAACGAGACAAGACGGUACCUGACUAAGAAGCCCCGGCUAACUACGUGCCAGCAGCCGCGGUUAUACGUAGGGGGCAAGCGUUAGCCGGAAUCACUGGGUGUAAAGGGGGCGUAGACGGCUGUGCAAGCCUGAAGUGAAAGGCGGGGGCCCAACCCCUGGACUGCUUUGGGAACUGUACGGCUGGAGUGCAGGAGAGGUAAGUGGAAUUCCUAGUGUAGCGGUGAAAUGCGUAGAUAUUAGGAGGAACACCAGUGGCGAAGGCGGCUUACUGGACUGUAACUGACGUUGAGGCACGAAAGCGUGGGGAGCAAACAGGAUUAGAUACCCGUGUAGUC
rnacentral:rRNA from 1 species